GGGCAGACCAGCAACUCCCCGGCCCCACGGCGCAUUCCUGAACAGGCCGAGUCUGCUCAGAGUCUGCGGGUGGGAGUGGGCUCGCUCCCCCUCCCGCCCCCCGCGGGUGAACCCGGCAGAUCCGGCUCUGGCUCCCGAGGCUCCUUCCCCUGAGAAGGUGGAGAGGCAGCCGCGGCGGGGGCUGGGAUGUGCCCGCGCGGAGCAGAAUGGGACUGACAGAGUGGUCGCUGUUCCUCGGGGCCCUGAGUCGUCCCGGGAGGCCGCCACAGCGGGGACCUAGUCCCAGUCACCUGGUCACCGCCACUGAGGGGGGCUCCCCGCCACGCCGGACGGGUGCGGCACUAAGACACGACCUGCUGCGAGUCUGUGGGCAGACAAGAUCCAUCCGGAAAGGGAGGUUCUCCCCCAGCACUGCGGGGAGCUGGGUGGCACAGACAGGAGUCCACAAGAAAGGUCUCAGGAGAUGUGGAAAAACACUCUGCAGCCACCCCUUCUUAGGAGGCAAGACUGUAAAACUCAAAAUCUGGACACGGCCCACAGGUGUCUCCAGAUAAACACCGGGAACACUUGGGAGGCAGAACAAACAGUUCCCCAGGACGGCUGAAACCGCCUACAAGAUCAGCAUGCCUCGUUCUCAACGAGUCCAGCCACGUAAAGAUAAACAGUCCCUGUGCCAGCGGACACUGUGGGAAGCCGCACUCCUGCAGCGAGACGACUCUGGCCGCAGUCCGGCUCUCGUGACAUGCACCUGCUGGCCAGGGGAGACCCGUGCCUACGAAGGCCCCUGUCACCCUGAGACACCCACCCUUCCUGGCUGCACACCCACUGUCCCACUGCCCAUGUAUGAGACCAGGAGAGGAGCCUGUGAGCCUGACUCUGCCACCAUCUCCCCCUGGACACGGUCUGCGGUUUCCGACAGGUCCCUGCUCCUCCACUAAAACUCCACCCGCCUGGCCGGGUCGGGCGUAGCAGCCUCUCCAUCGCCACCGGGUGGACACCGAGGGUAUCGCUGGCAAAGGCUGCUGACUCAUGUGUUCCAAACCCUGCCCAUCUCCGGAAGGACACUUGUUCUCUCCAAAGUCCCAAAGACACCCUUGUCUUCACAUGCCCUUUGCAGCCAGAAAGACAAACCGAGAGCCUCAGUGCAUUACGUAAUCCUCUUAUAAGCACAGGAAAACAGUGACAAUGGCUGUGCCUGGACCUCUAACAACCAAUCCAUUCUUCUUGGCAAAGCACCACUGUCCGAUUAAAUAUGGCCGGGGGAAAGCUUUACUUGAU